GACGAACGCUGGCGGCGUGCCUAAUACAUGCAAGUCGAGCGGAUCUUCAUUAGCUUGCUUUCGAAGAUCAGCGGCGGACGGGUGAGUAACACGUGGGCAACCUGCCUGUAAGACUGGGAUAACUUCGGGAAACCGGAGCUAAUACCGGAUAAUCCUUUUCCUCUCAUGAGGAAAAGUUGAAAGACGGUUUCGGCUGUCACUUACAGAUGGGCCCGCGGCGCAUUAGCUAGUUGGUGAGGUAACGGCUCACCAAGGCGACGAUGCGUAGCCGACCGGGGAGGGUGAUCGGCCACACUGGGACUGAGACACGGCCCAGACUCCUACGGGAGGCAGCAGUAGGGAAUCUUCCGCAAUGGACGAAAGUCUGACGGAGCAACGCCGCGUGAGCGAUGAAGGCCUUCGGGUCGUAAAGCUCUGUUGUCGGGGAAGAACAAGUACCGGAGUAACUGCCGGUACCUUGACGGUACCUGACCAGAAAGCCACGGCUAACUACGUGCCAGCCGCCGCCGUAA
rnacentral:rRNA from 1 species